UGGGGAAUAUUGGACAAUGAGCGAAAGCCUGAUCCAGCCAUGCCGCAUGAGUGAAGAAGGCCUUUGGGUUGUAAAGCUCUUUUAGUGAGGAAGAUAAUGACGGUACUCACAGAAGAAGUCCUGGCUAACUCCGUGCCAGCAGCCGCGGUAAUACGGAGAGGGCUAGCGUUAUUCGGAAUUAUUGGGCGUAAAGGGCGCGUAGGCUGGUUAAUAAGUUAAAAGUGAAAUCCCGAGGCUUAACCUUGGAAUUGCUUUUAAAACUAUUAAUCUAGAGAUUGAAAGAGGAUAGAGGAAUUCCUGAUGUAGAGGUAAAAUUCGUAAAUAUUAGGAGGAACACCGGUGGCGAAGGCGUCUAUCUGGUUCAAAUCUGACGCUGAAGCGCGAAGGCGUGGGGAGCAAACA
rnacentral:rRNA from 1 species